rnacentral:rRNA from 1 species
CCUACGGGUGGCAGCAGUAGGGAAUAUUGCACAAUGGGGGAAACCCUGAAGCAGCAACGCCGCGUGGAGGAUGAAGGUUUUAGGAUUGUAAACUCCUUUUGUGAGAGAGGAUAAUGACGUUAUCACACGAAUAAGCACCGGCUAACUCCGUCCCAGCAGCCGCGGUAAUACGGAGGGUGCAAGCGUUACUCGGAAUCACUGGUCGUAAAGAGUGCGCAGGCGGGCUUGUAAGUCAGAUGUGAAAUCCUGUAGCUUAACUACAGAACUGCAUUUGAAACUGUGAGUCUAGAGUGUGGGAGAGGUAGGUAGAAUUCUUGGUGUAGGGGUAAAAUGCGUAGAUAUCAAGAGGAAUACUCAUUGCGAAGGCGACCUCCUGGAACAUUACUGACGCUCAUGCGCGAAAGCGUGGGGAGCAAACAGGAUUAGAUACCCUAGUAGUC